rnacentral:rRNA from 1 species
CUCGUAGGCGGUUGAGUAAGUCGGGUGUGAAAACUCUGGGCUUAACCCGGAGACGCCAUCCGAUACUGCUCUGACUAGAGUUCAGGAGGGGAGUGGGGAAUUCCUAGUGUAGCGGUGAAAUGCGCAGAUAUUAGGAGGAACACCGGUGGCGAAGGCGCCACUCUGGACUGAAACUGACGCUGAGGAGCGAAAGCAUGGGUAGCAAACA